rnacentral:rRNA from 1 species
GAGUUUGAUUCUGGCUCAGGAUGAACGCUAGCUACAGGCUUAACACAUGCAAGUCGAGGGGCAGCAUGAAGUCAGCUUGCUGACUUUGAUGGCGACCGGCGCACGGGUGCGUAACGCGUAUCAAACCUGCCGCAUACUCGGGGAUAGCCUUGCGAAAGUAAGAUUAAUACCCGAUGUUAUUAUGCCCUCGCAUGAGGGUGUAAUCAAAGAUUUUAUCGGUAUGCGAUGGUGAUGCGUCUGAUUAGGUAGUAGGCGGGGUAACGGCCCACCUAGCCAACGAUCAGUAGGGGUUCUGAGAGGAAGGUCCCCCACACUGGAACUGAGACGCGGUCCAGACUCCUACGGGAGGCAGCAGUGAGGAAUAUUGGUCAAUGGACGGAAGUCUGAACCAGCCAAGUAGCGUGCAGGAUGACGGCCCUCCGGGUUGUAAACUGCUUUUAGUUGGGAAUAACGGCGGGGACGCGUCCCCGA